GACGAACCGUGCGAACGUUGUUCGGAAUCACUGGGCUUAAAGGGCGCGUAGGCGGCUUGCCAAGUCAGGGGUGAAAUCUUUCGGCUUAACCGGAAAAGUGCCUUUGAUACUGGCGAGCUAGAGCGAGGUAGGGGUAUGUGGAACUUCCGGUGGAGCGGUGAAAUGCGUUGAUAUCGGAAGGAACGCCGGUGGCGAAAGCGACGUACUGGACCUCUUCUGACGCUGAGGCGCGAAAGCUAGGGGAGCAAACGGG
rnacentral:rRNA from 1 species